rnacentral:tRNA from 1 species
UAUUCAUAUAGUUUAAUUAAAACCUUUUAUUUUCAUUAAAAAAAAGAAUAUAAAUUCUGUGAAUAA